rnacentral:rRNA from 1 species
UACGGAGGGUGCAAGCGUUAAUCGGAAUUACUGGGCGUAAAGCGCACGCAGGUGGCUGAGUCAGUCGAUUGUGAAAGCCCUGGGCUUAACCUGGGAAUUGCAGUCGAUACUACUCAGCUAGAGUAUGGGAGAGGGUAGUGGAAUUCCCGGUGUAGCGGUGAAAUGCGCAGAUAUCAGGAGGAACACCGAUUGCGAAGGCAGCUCGCUGGAACGUUACUGACGCUGAGACGCGAAAGCGUGGGGAGCAAACAGG